UACGUAGGGCGCAAGCGUUGUCCGGAAUUAUUGGGCGUAAAGAGCUCGUAGGCGGCUUGUCACGUCGGAUGUGAAAGCCCGAGGCUUAACCUCGGGUCUGCAUUCGAUACGGGCUAGCUAGAGUGUGGUAGGGGAGAUCGAAUUCCUGGUGUAGCGGUGAAAUGCGCAGAUAUCAGGAGGAACACCGGUGGCGAAGGCGGGUCUCUGGGCAGUAACUGACGCUGAGGAGCGAAAAGCGUGGGGGAGCGAACAGG
rnacentral:rRNA from 1 species